rnacentral:rRNA from 1 species
GGGUUGUGAGGUUAAGCGACUAAGCGUACACGGUGGAUGCCCUGGCAGUCAGAGGCGAUGAAGGACGUGCUAAUCUGCGAUAAGCGUCGGUGAGGUGAUAUGAACCGUUAUAACCGGCGAUUUCCGAAUGGGGAAACCCAGUGUGUUUCGACACACUAUCAUUAACUGAAUCCAUAGGUUAAUGAGGCGAACCGGGGGAACUGAAACAUCUAAGUACCCCGAGGAAAAGAAAUCAACCGAGAUUCCCCCAGUAGCGGCGAGCGAACGGGGAGCAGCCCAGAGCCUGAAUCAGUGUGUGUGUUAGUGGAAGCGUCUGGAAAGGCGCGCGAUACAGGGUGACAGCCCCGUACACAAAAAUGCACAUGCUGUGAGCUCGAUGAGUAGGGCGGGACACGUGGUAUCCUGUCUGAAUAUGGGGGGACCAUCCUCCAAGGCUAAAUACUCCUGACUGACCGAUAGUGAACCAGUACCGUGAGGGAAAGGCGAAAAGAACCCCGGCGAGGGGAGUGAAAAAGAACCUGAAACCGUGUACGUACAAGCAGUGGGAGCCUCUUUAUGGGGUGACUGCGUACCUUUUGUAUAAUGGGUCAGCGACUUAUAUUCUGUAGCAAGGUUAACCGAAUAGGGGAGCCGAAGGGAAACCGAGUCUUAACUGGGCGUUAAGUUGCAGGGUAUAGACCCGAAACCCGGUGAUCUAGCCAUGGGCAGGUUGAAGGUUGAGUAACAUCAACUGGAGGACCGAACCGACUAAUGUUGAAAAAUUAGCGGAUGACUUGUGGCUGGGGGUGAAAGGCCAAUCAAACCGGGAGAUAGCUGGUUCUCCCCGAAAGCUAUUUAGGUAGCGCCUCGUGAAUUCAUCUCCGGGGGUAGAGCACUGUUUCGGCAAGGGGGUCAUCCCGACUUACCAACCCGAUGCAAACUCCGAAUACCGGAGAAUGUUAUCACGGGAGACACACGGCGGGUGCUAACGUCCGUCGUGAAGAGGGAAACAACCCAGACCGCCAGCUAAGGUCCCAAAGUCAUGGUUAAGUGGGAAACGAUGUGGGAAGGCCCAGACAGCCAGGAUGUUGGCUUAGAAGCAGCCAUCAUUUAAAGAAAGCGUAAUAGCUCACUGGUCGAGUCGGCCUGCGCGGAAGAUGUAACGGGGCUAAACCAUGCACCGAAGCUGCGGCAGCGACGCUUAUGCGUUGUUGGGUAGGGGAGCGUUCUGUAAGCCUGCGAAGGUGUGCUGUGAGGUAUGCUGGAGGUAUCAGAAGUGCGAAUGCUGACAUAAGUAACGAUAAAGCGGGUGAAAAGCCCGCUCGCCGGAAGACCAAGGGUUCCUGUCCAACGUUAAUCGGGGCAGGGUGAGUCGACCCCUAAGGCGAGGCCGAAAGGCGUAGUCGAUGGGAAACAGGUUAAUAUUCCUGUACUUGGUGUUACUGCGAAGGGGGGACGGAGAAGGCUAUGUUGGCCGGGCGACGGUUGUCCCGGUUUAAGCGUGUAGGCUGAUUUUCCAGGCAAAUCCGGAAAAUCAAGGCUGAGGCGUGAUGACGAGGCACUAC